rnacentral:lncRNA from 10 species
GGGAGAGGGCUGGCAUUCGUCCAUUCAGGUUAUGUUUUCUGAAUUAUAUAUAGAAGGACAUGUUGCAGAAGAAAUGCAAGUACAGUGAAGAAUAAGACUGGGGAACUUUUACAAUUCAGAGUGGCCUUCACUGUGGGCGGUCCGAAUUGAUCCCUGUAUACAGAGGACAAUGAAUCCAGGCAGUGAUCCACCAAUGAUAACUAACAUCAUAAAAAGAUACAUGGCCGGAUAUGAUGUUCCUUCUGACGGAAGACCACAACACCUGCUGAAAAAUCAAAUCUGAAUCGGAUCAAGCCUCUAGAGGUAACUCCCAGCUAUAGGAAUUAGAGAACUGGGGGGCAUGUUAAUAUGUCAAGGUGUUUAACCCUCACCACAGGGAGGCGGCCAGAUUUCCUCUCAGGAAAAAAGUUACAGGUUUCAUCAACAAAGUGGAAGGAAAAGGAAUAAAAGAAAAAAAAAACAAAACAUAAGGAGAAUUUAUAGAUUAACAGAAGCUUAAGAGAAAUAUCAGCCAAUUACAACAUAUGGACUUUGGAUUCUGAUUCUUGCGAACAAACUACACUACAGUGACAAUAAAAAUGAGACGUAUUCAUGAGACAAUUGGGGAAAUUUGAACACUGAAUGGAUACUUAACAUCAAGGAAUUGUUUUUAAUUUUUGAGCAAUGUGAAAAUCGUGUUUGGGAUUAUGCUUUAAA